AUUGAACGCUGGCGGCAGGCCUAACACAUGCAAGUCGAGCGGAUGAAGGGAGCUUGCUCCUGGAUUCAGCGGCGGACGGGUGAGUAAUGCCUAGGAAUCUGCCUGGUAGUGGGGGAUAACGUCCGGAAACGGGCGCUAAUACCGCAUACGUCCUGAGGGAGAAAGGGGGGGAUCUUCGGACCUCACGCGAUCAGAUGAGCCUAGGUCGGAUUAGCUAGUUGGUGGGGUAAAGGCCUACCAAGGCGACGAUCCGUAACUGGUCUGAGAGGAUGAUCAGUCACACUGGAACUGAGACACGGUCCAGACUCCUACGGGAGGCAGCAGUGGGGAAUAUUGGACAAAGGGCGAAAGCCUGAUCCAGCCAUGCCGCGUGUGUGAAGAAGGUCUUCGGAUUGUAAAGCACUUUAAGUUGGGAGGAAGGGCAGUAAGUUAAUACCUUGCUGUUUUGACGUUACCAACAGAAUAAGCACCGGCUAACUUCGUG
rnacentral:rRNA from 1 species